GCCAUUUACUGACGCUUGACAGGAGUUGUUGCUCACUCACCAGUGUUUUGGGGAAGGGCAUUUUCGAGACACUUGAAUACAUGUAGAGCUUGAGGAAAUAGAAGCCAACAGCACUCAGCAGAAGCAGCACGAGGAGGGCAACCAGAACAAGAACAAGAUACUCAAAUGUGUGCGAAGUUAUCUUGCCCUCUGGCUGAAAGGACACCUUAAGGAGAGAUGGAGACAUUGCCAUGACAUCACCUGCCUAACAACUGCACCAUGGAGCAAAAAUUCACUCAUGUCACCCUCGUGACAUAGGAGCUGGAAAAGGGACAUGCCACUGUUUCCGGGAGCCACUUGAGGUGUCCACUUUGGUCCAGUUAGAAGAGCUGCACGUGGAAGCAGACACAGUAACACAACAAGAAGGAGCCAUCAGCACUCCUUACCCACCACCUCCUCCCAGCUCCACUUAAUCCCCC